CUGAAGUGAGGAUGGAUGUGUUUUGAGAAUAACAAUGCAAUGAAAACAAUAACAAAAGACAACUCGAAUGAAAAACAAUCGAGACAAAAUUUACAUAAUUCACCUAAACGUUGAGCUAGUCCACGGUCAACAACUGAUCAAUUUCACUCUCAUUUAAAAAUUUUGUACUAUAUAAAAUUGCAAAAUCCUCUCCUUGUAUAAUGCUUAAAAACCCUAAUUCAACUCGAUAGUACAAAACUAUUAUCUCUGAAUUAAAGUUCGAAUCAGACUUCUCACCGAUAACAGGAGGGAUGCAGACCAUAGAAGGAACAAUAAAGAUACCAAUUUUGCUCCCGGAACUCAAUGAGCAUAAAAGAAAGGAUAAUUCAUAUGCAAGUUACGGUUGCUCUAGUACUCCUUGUCAGAAUGACUAAAACAGAAGGAAGCUCAAGAAGUGAUAGACUUCGAGAAAAGCACACAAAGCCUAGGGCCAAAGCGCAUCGCAAGGAGAAAACCAUGUGGAAAAGGAAACAUGAGGAAGAACCCUACACAUGAGAUAUACAUCAAAACAGUCAAAUAUGGUCUGCUCGCAAGGUGCCUAUGGAAGAAAGAGCACAAAGGAAUAAUUAUAAGGAGAAUCGUAAUAAUAAUAGAGAAAGUCGAGCUAGAGAAAGAGAACAAAGGAAUAAUAACAGGAGAAUCGUAAUCAUAAUAGAGAAAGUCGAGCUAGAGUACCACAACGCAAUCAAGGAGGGGAUCUGUGUAGCCAGAAGUGAAUGCGAGAAAGAUUACAAAUUAAAAGGAAGCAGUAAAGAGUUAGUCUAGGUAGUGACAAAAUUGAAAAAGAAAAAGCAGUUUCAAUUGUAUACGACCAUGAUGUCGCGAC
rnacentral:lncRNA from 1 species